rnacentral:lncRNA from 1 species
GUCCCUUACUUCAGAUUUGAAGAUAUCCCAUAUAUCUCUUGAAUCUCUGGUAAGUGCCUUUUCUUUAUAUUUUAGAAUAAGAUUGUUUAUAUGGUUUUUAUAAUUAUCAUCUAUUAAAAUACUAUUAUUUAUUUUAAAGAAACCUCUUCCUCUGCCAUGGUGAUUUUGUCUUAUUUUUAACGAAAUGGCUUGGUGAUCAGUGUAUGAUAUCAUAGCAGGUCUUAUAUCAGAAUUGAUUACAUGUGGCCUUAUAUCUGGACUGAUCAAAAAGAAAUCUAUUCUGCUUGUUAUAUUCGUAUUGUUUUUCCUUCUCCAUGUAAAUUGAAUUUUGUUUGGAUUUAUUUCCCUCCAUAUAUAUCUAUUAAUUUGUGUUUUUUUAAUGAGCUGUUUAAGGCUAUUUACUGGUUUAUAGUAUUUAUGAGAGCUAUUUGAUUUCCUAUCUAUUUUUAAUAGGGUUUCAUUCAUGUCCCCUCCUAAAAUUAAAAUACCUAAUCGAUUAUUUUCUAUGAUGUUAUUUACCUUUUUGAAAAAUUUAUUUCUGUUAGUAUGAAUGUUUGGGGCAUAUACAUUUAUUAAGGUAAAAAUGUUAUCGUUAACUUCAAUGUUGAGCAAAAUAAUUCUGCCAUCAUUAUCUUUAACUUCAUUUUAUUAGUUUAUAAUUUAAACUGUCUUUAAUCAUUAUUGAAACGCCUCUUGAUUGGGAACUUCCAUAGCUAUGAAAAAAUUUACCUUUUACUUCACUAUUAAUAAUAUGUUCAUUUUUCUCUAUUAGAUGGGAUUCUUGUAUAAAUAAUAUAUUACAUUUUUGAUGUUUAUUCCAUAAAUAUAAUCUCUCUCUUUUCUCUUUCUGUCCUAAACCUUGACAGUUUAAGGAUAUAAGAUGUAUAUUGUCACUCAUUGUUUUUACCUAAGGAAUAUUCAAUUUUAUACAUUAAAUAUAGCUGUACAAUUCUGGUUCUCAUAAUUAGUGUAAUAACCCACUUAAUAGUACAUGUUAAUGAGACUAUUAUUAGAACAACAUGUCUUAUUACAUUAUUUACAUGUUUGUAAAUACACAAGGUUAAAUGCACGGUUAACUUCUUUUUUUCAAAGACACAAUAUAGUAAUAAAAAUAUCAUUAUAAAAAAAUAUAUUUGCAAGAAAUUACUAUUAUAACAGUAUAACAUAACAUAAAUAACGGGUUUUGAUUAUGUUAACCCUUUUCGAGCUAAAUUUUUGUUUGUUUACAUAUCAAUACUAUGUAUCUCAUACACGAAUAACAAAGCUUAAGUGUAUUUAAAUAUACAAAUGUAUCAUUCAAAUCACUGUUCACUUUUCCAAUAAUCAGGAAAGAUUCUAUCAUGAUUCUCUUUGAUCUCUGAAUUGUUUUAUCGAGUAAUCUAUUUUUAGAUACGGUGAAAACCCAGAAAUUUAGGGGUUUUUGGAAUCGGGUCAGCAUGCAUAUGAAUAUAACUGUAGUUAUACUGUUUUUAGUUGGGUAUGUCACAUGUAUGACGAUAAUGUAAAUUAAAAAGAGAAAGUAUUUUUGAACAAUUAAAAAUAGUUGCAGAUACAUGUUUACAUUAAUGAUUACAUUGAUUGACCUACUUAAAUAGUUGUUUAUUGAUGUGAGUGUUUGAUAUAAGCUAUUUUGUAAAAGAACAAACACAUAACUUUUAUUUACAUAUGUAUUCAAUUCUUUUCAGGUAUUUUAGAGUGGUAGUUACCAUGGAUGUGGACGUAGCUUGUACAAAAAAUAUGUGAACUAUAUAGGAGGAACUAAUUUUCAGUUUUUGGAUACCUAAAGCAAUAGUGGUGUUUUUAAUAUGCCAAUCGUUGAAAUUGAUACUAUCUGUAUCCUGGUGAACUAAGUGAGAUAAUGUAUAUGGCAGAUCUUGAGCAGUUUUAAAAGUUAUUCCUAGUACAUGUAUGUGAGGAAUUGACACAUUUAUUAACAUGGAUUUUAUAUUUCAAAGAAGUGAUUUCAUCAACUAAGUGAUAUGGAACGCAGCUAAAGUUAGUCAAUUUACCAAUCAAACUGACACCAUUCAGAUUGGGAUUUACAGGUGUUUUGAAUUGAUUCAUGGUUAAUAAAAAGAUGAUAAUAACUUUCAAUGAAUCAACUAUUUGAUCAUAUUCAUUUGUUUUCAUGAUAUUCAUAUAAAUAAA